GCCUGGGUGGCUCAGUCGGUUAAGCGUCCGACUUCGGCUCAGGUCACCAUCUCGCGGAUAUGUGGGUUCGAGCCCCGCGCCGGGCU
rnacentral:tRNA from 1 species